AGGCCUUGCCUUGCGAUGACACCUGGUACCCGACGGGUUCCAUCUGUUCAAACACAUUGGCAUCCUGAAGUUGGGCCCAGCACAGCACAAUGUGCGGGGGACGACGGAAGGAUGCCUGUACCACGGCGGUCUCCGACCCUGCGGUCGGGACCGCUCCAUUGGUCGACCUCGGAUCAGGCAAGAUUACCCGCUGAACUUAA
rnacentral:misc_RNA from 1 species